CCUACGGGUGGCAGCAGUGAGGAAUAUUGGUCAAUGGACGAGAGUCUGAACCAGCCAAGUAGCGUGAAGGAUGACUGCCCUAUGGGUUGUAAACUUCUUGUAUAUGGGAAUAAAAUGUUCCACGUGUGGGAUUUUGUAUGUACCAUAUGAAUAAGGAUCGGCUAACUCCGUGCCAGCAGCCGCGGUAAUCCGGAGGAUCCGAGCGUUAUCCGGAUUUAUUGGGUUUAACGGGAGCGUAGGUGGAUUGGUAAGUCAGUUGGGAACGUUUGCGGCUCAACCGUAAAAUUGAAGUUGAAACUGGCCGUCUUUAGUACAGUAGAGGUGGGCGGAAUUCGUGGUGUAGCUGUGAAAUGCUUAGAUAUCACGAAGAACUCCGAUUGCGAAGGCAGUUCACUGGACUGCAACUGACACUGAGGCUCGAAAGUGUGGGUAUCAAACAGGAUUAGAUACCCUAGUAGUC
rnacentral:rRNA from 1 species